UAUCCUAUACUUGUAAAAAUAUUAUCCUAUACUUGAUACUAUUAUUGUCAAUAUGGAAAAACAAUUUUAACCAGAAAGUAUGGAAAUAGCCCAAACUGUAGACAACUUUUUGAAAUUAAACUUUAAUGGAAGUAUACGAAUCAUUAACCACUAGGAUUUAUUUGGUGUUUCCAAAGAUUCUUUAUGAUCAAAAAUGUCUUGAAAGUUAAUAUUGAUUUGGAAGUUCUGCACAAUCACUUAAACUCAUUGAAUAGCAAAUAAAUCUUUCAAAAUGAUUACAAACUAUUUAAUGUAGCAAUAACUUUGUAUGUAAUAUGUAUUUUAUUUGCAUUAUGUUGUAUCGUCAUAUCGCUCCCAUGUGUUAUUGUGCUCUCUCCAAUUAUAACUAACGUAGUGACCAAUUGCUAGUGGAGAUGAAGAUAUUGGAGGGAUAAAUGCAAUUAUGCCUCUUAAAUUGUAGUGUUUACAUUUAUUAAUUAAUAAAUGUGUCGGAAUAUUUUCUAAAGGUACUGAUAUUUCAAAAUUGUUUUUAUUAAUUGGAUUAGAAAAUGAAGCCACGGUUUCAAUUAUUAAUUGCUGUUUUAAAUUAAUCUGUUUUGACCUUGU